GCCUCUAAGCUCACAUUUUACACACAGAUAUCACAGACACUAAUAUGUCACCAAAGAUACGUGAGAAGAACCUUGUAAAAGGCUCUGUAGCCUGGUAUCCUUCCUGUGGCAACAGGUGGCUGUGAAUCCCCUCCCCUCCCUGGGCCUCAGUUUCCCCAUGUGUACAAUGAAGCAGUUGGACUGGAUAAUCCUUGAGUUCCUUUCUAGCUCUAGCAUCACCCUCAGAUGCCCUGGUACCCAGAACAGUAAUUGGACAAGGGGCAUGGUGACCCCAGGAUCUGGGUCAGUCCACAUCUUGGAGCAUGGUGGAAUCGAUGGCUGCAGCCCCCUGGAAGCUGAACGUGGCAGGAACGGGCUGAGAGAUUUUUUGGCUGACGGUGAAAUGUCCUGGCAGAGUCUGUGCAGCAACAGAGCAUCACCCUAUAUCAUAGAGGAGGGAACAGAAACUGGAGAAGCAAGUGCCUUUCUGACAUAGAGCACAAGUAGCAGGAGCUGGAUUCAACCUCAGCCCAUCCAGGAUCACAGUCCUUCUUCCCAGGACCAAGUUGAGCUGAGAGGAGGAGGAAGAGGGGUCUGUGAGGUCCAGGUGGAGACGCUCCGCAGGCACGUGCGGAAGCUUGGAGACAUGAUGUGUACAAGCUGGAGGUGUUGCUCUCAGCUUAGUGCACCCUGUGGGACUCCUGGUGUAGCCGACGUGCCCUGCCGAAGUGUUCCUUGCAGCUGGCGACUGGUGGCCUUAGGAUUACACCAUGUUUGAUUUUCUUGUUUCCUACUGAUUGACUAUUAAAAUGUUUCCAGUGUCGUUCCAUUAAGACAAACCUGUAAGAGCAUCUUAUAAUUGUUCGUUUUGCACAUGUACAAGUAUUUCUCUGGGAUAGAUACUUAGAAAUGGAACUGAUGGGUCAUAGGGUAUUCAUAUCUUAAAUUCUAAUAGAAAUUUCUAAAGUGUUCUCCAAAUUGCCUUCUAAUGUAAUCUCCUGCUAGCCGCGUGUGUGUGUCCAUUUCCCCAGACCAUGUCCAAGUUUUCCAUUUUUAACCAGUCUGAUGAGUGAGAAAUAGUAUCUUGCUUUAGUUGGCAUUUUUCUGAAUUACCUGCAAGACUGAAGUCUUCAUGUGUUUACUGUCCAUUUUCAUU